rnacentral:rRNA from 1 species
AUCCUGGCUCAGGAUGAACGCUGGCGGCGUGCCUAAUACAUGCAAGUCGAACGCACAGCGAAAGGUGCUUGCACCUUUCAAGUGAGUGGCGAACGGGUGAGUAACACGUGGACAACCUGCCUCAAGGCUGGGGAUAACAUUUGGAAACAGAUGCUAAUACCGAAUAAAACUCAGUGUCGCAUGACACAAAGUUAAAAGGCGCUUUGGCGUCACCUAGAGAUGGAUCCGCGGUGCAUUAGUUAGUUGGUGGGGUAAAGGCCUACCAAGACAAUGAUGCAUAGCCGAGUUGAGAGACUGAUCGGCCACAUUGGGACUGAGACACGGCCCAAACUCCUACGGGAGGCUGCAGUAGGGAAUCUUCCACAAUGGGCGAAAGCCUGAUGGAGCAACGCCGCGUGUGUGAUGAAGGCUUUCGGGUCGUAAAGCACUGUUGUAUGGGAAGAACAGCUAGAAUAGGGAAUGAUUUUAGUUUGACGGUACCAUACCAGAAAGGGACGGCUAAAUACGUGCCAGCAGCCGCGGUAAUACGUAUGUCCCGAGCGUUAUCC